CCCCAGCCAACAAGACCUAGACGACCCUCGGUUUAAAGAUCUCAGUUAACUUCUGAUUCAGACGUUUGCGGAAAUAAUAUCCAUCUACAAUAAAGCACUCACUGACUGCUGGUUGUUGGGAUGUUACUGCAGCUGCUACUGGCUGCCAAUUUCCUGGUGGCUGUCACGCAGAUGUCACUUCUUAAUGAGAUUCGCGAUACUCAAGCACUAUUGAGCGGUGGUGUAGAAGCUGUGUUGGCCGCAGUGUCGGAGCCUCGCUGUUCCGUCAUGUUCUUCACGGACGGCGCCACAACCCUCACCGCUGUG